GACGAACGCUGGCGGCGUGCUUAACACAUGCAAGUCGAACGGAAAGGCCCUGCUUUUGUUGGGUGCUCGAGUGGCGAACGGGUGAGUAACCCGUGAGUAACCUACCCUUGACUUUGGGAUAACUUCAGGUACCUGCGGCUAAUACCGGCUCGGAGCUCCUGCUGCCUGGUGGGGGUUGGAAAGUUUCGGCGGUUCGGGAUGGACUCGCCGCUUAUCAGCUUGUUGGUGGGGUAGUGGCAUACCAAGGCUUUGACGGGUAGCCGGGCUGAGAGGGUUGCCGGCCUCAGUGGGAGUGAGAGACGGCCCAGACUCCUACGGGGGGCAAGAGGGGGGAAGAUUGCACGAGGGGCGGAAGCCUGAUGCAGCAAAGCCGCGUGCCGGAUGACCGCCCUCGGGUUGUGAACCGCAUUCGCCUGUGACGAGGCGUGAUUGACGGUAAUGGGUGAAGAAGCACCGGCUAACUACGUG
rnacentral:rRNA from 1 species